rnacentral:ribozyme from 1 species
UAUCUUGGAACUCCGAAUCCUACCUCCUCGUGGUGCUGGCUGGAAUAUGAUAUUCACUUUCGAGUAUCAUAUACGAACAGGAUCGG